rnacentral:rRNA from 1 species
CUGGAGGUAUCAGAAGUGCGAAUGCUGACAUAAGUAACGAUAAAGCGGGUGAAAAGCCCGCUCGCCGGAAGACCAAGGGUUCCUGUCCAACGUUAAUCGGGGCAGGGUGAGUCGACCCCUAAGGCGAGGCCGAAAGGCGUAGUCGAUGGGAAACAGGUUAAUAUUCCUGUACUUGGUGUUACUGCGAAGGGGGGACGGAGAAGGCUAUGUUGGCCGGGCGACGGUUGUCCCGGUUUAAGCGUGUAGGCUGGUUUUCCAGGCAAAUCCGGAAAAUCAAGGCUGAGGCGUGAUGACGAGGCACUACGGUGCUGAAGCAACAAAUGCCCUGCUUCCAGGAAAAGCCUCUAAGCAUCAGGUAACAUCAAAUCGUACCCCAAACCGACACAGGUGGUCAGGUAGAGAAUACCAAGGCGCUUGAGAGAACUCGGGUGAAGGAACUAGGCAAAAUGGUGCCGUAACUUCGGG